rnacentral:lncRNA from 1 species
UUUAGGGUAUUUUAGCGGUUAGGGGUUACGAUACAUACAACGUAAUAUUGAAAACAAUUGUGUGAUGUUAUACUUUCACACAACAUUUCUUAGUUGAUUGUUGUGGGAUGAAGAACUUAAAAUAGUAUUCCCAAAUGUAAGAGACGAGUUUUGUAAUACCCUAGAUUUUCAUAUCAUUUUUCCUUGUAUUAUUUCCUUAAUUAAUGAAUGAUUAUUUAUGGAAAUUAUUUGGUCUAUGCGAAGUUGUAUGCGAAGUUGAAGUUUCGGGAGUUAUUUUAAGGUGCUUUGACUUUUAAGAGGCCAAAAGUUGACUUUAUUUUCUGUAAGUUAUCUUCACAAACUUCCUGUAUGAAAGUUGUAGAGUUUGUCGAUACAAGUUCGUAGACAUGCGGCACGCCUAAAACGGAUGUCGUAUGAGAAAGUUAUGGUCAGAGGAAGUUAGUUUCCGGUUUUGGUUUGAGUAUAAGUAGAAAAUGUGUGUGUGGGUUAUUUUAGAAACCCUAAAAUUGCACAAAGCCCCUUUCAGUUUCUCUCUCUUCCUCCCUGAGCCUCCGAGUUCUCCCGUUUUCUCCAGCACCAAACCCAGUCAUCCGGCCACCGUUCGGACACCGCCGGUCACGUCGGGUUCCCAGGACUGCUGCCUUCAAGCCUAGGUCGAUGUUGCACGGCGGUUGGCCACAGACGACGCCAGCAGAGGACGUCUCUCUCGGUCGGAAUCGGUGGUGCUGCCUUGGUUGAAACUUUCGUUUACGGCGGCGACGAGGUGCAUCAUUAGGUGAGUUUUGCUUGCCUCUUCCACUUGUGUGUCGUUGGGCAAAGCAAUCAACUCAGUUUUGAGUUUUCAACUUUGAUUUUCAGUUUUGGUGCUCGAAUUUGUGACCGGAUUUUGGAGCAGUUCAAGCUCGAUUCGAGGCUAGUACACAGGUACAAAGUUGUUCCUCUUACUUUGAUCUACGAGUCGAGUUUGUUGGAUGUUCAACUGGCAGCAUUGCGGGGUGGCGUGUGGGGCCCACUCACCGCCGCCUGUGGUGGGGUGUGGCGGCGUGUCUGGCCAGUAUGAGUGGGUUUGGUUGUUGUGUUAGCUUGUUUGUGUAGUUGUGAGGGUGUUGAUGGUGGGUGAAUGUCACAUCUCGACCCUUAUAUUUUUACCUUAUUUACUAGCUUGAUUAUAAUAAGAAUUUUACCGGCUCCGUCAUUGAGUUAAUAGUUUAAUUGGUCCCUAGAGGAGUUUCGGAGACGAUUAUGUGCGGAGGAUUAUCCGUGGGAGGAAAAUAUGUCGACGGUAAAAAUGGUAAAUUUUAGCUAGUAAAAGGUAAUUUUUAUUAGGGUAUUAUUUUGGGGUGUAAAUUUUUAGAGUGGGUUUUGGUAUAUAAGGUUGUUGGACCGGGUGUAGAGGCCCAUUUCUCUUUUCUCUUUUUCUCCUCUUUUCUCCUCCCGGUUCUCUCUCUCUCCCGAGCCCCUCCCGCUGUCCGGUUUUCCGGCCGUCCUCCUGCCGCCAUCCGGCCACCGUCUGCCGCCGCUCCGGUACUGACUACCUCCGACCCAGCUUCCAUUCUAGGCUGGUAGCAGCUCCCCUAGCGCCGCCGUGAGAGAGCGGUGCCGCCCUAAAGCUUCCGGUCGCCGGAACUCCCUCCUCCGGCCACCAAAACCGGUGAUCCUUGGCUCGUUUUGUAGCCCUCCUCCCGUGUAGCAACCCCUCCAAUCAGCUCACUCCCUCUUGAGCUAAGUAAGGAGAAAUGUGGAGUUGAAAUUUCUAGGGCUUUUAGGUGUUUGUGUUCGAUUGCCCUAGUUAGGCUUGGAUUUUGGGUUUGUGCUGGUCAGGAAAGUUGUAGAGCUUGAUGAGAGGAGUAUUCUGUUAAAAUUUCAUAGAUUUUGGAGGUCGCCGGAAUUGGCCUCCGGCUGCCGCCGACGCCGCCGCCGGUUGAGAGAUUUUAAUGUUGUUAAAUUUGGAAUAUUAAGGGGAGUUUAUUGAAGUGAGUUAUGAAAUUUUUGGAUGAGUUUUGGAUAGGUUUAUGAAUUUCCGAAGUUAGUAUUUUUGGCGGUUAAUUUAUGUAGAAUCCGGCCGUUGGAUUAAAUUUGUUUAAACUGUGGGAAAGUGUAAUUACGGCUGCUGGUUCUAGGGUUGAAAUGUGGACCAUUUCGAAGUUAGGCAAUGAUGAGCGUGUUAAUGGCUCUCGGUUAAUUUCUGCCUAUUUUGUGUAAAUAUUGGAAUUUCGGCUGGGAACUUAAUAUUAUAUUUGGAACAGGUCGUGAGGAGGCUCGAGCUGACGAGGCCCCAGAUCGACAUCAGGCUUAGGCCUAAUUUGUGAGUGGACUUUUGUUUUAAAUAAUGUGCAUGCGAAAUAAUUUAUGUUGUUGGAGAAUAUCCGAAAUUGAGAAUUUCGGUGAGUAUAUAUAUAUAUAUAUAUCCAUAUGUGGAUGAUUAUGAGAAUAAUAUGUAUAUGAGAGAAUGCUAGCUAGCUAUACGUGCUUUUCCACCAUACUGAGGUAAAAUUCCAUUAUGGUGCGACGUGAGCGUUAGACGCAAUCGUCGUAGCCCUAUAUAAAAAUAAUAAUUUAUAUAGGGG